rnacentral:rRNA from 1 species
UAGGGAAUCUUCCACAAUGGACGCAAGUCUGAUGGAGCAACGCCGCGUGAGUGAAGAAGGUUUUCGGAUCGUAAAGCUCUGUUGUUGGUGAAGAAGGAUAGAGGUAGUAACUGGCCUUUAUUUGACGGUAAUCAACCAGAAAGUCACGGCUAACUACGUGCCAGCAGCCGCGGUAAUACGUAAGUGGCAAGCGUUGUCCGGAUUUAUUGGGCGUAAAGCGAGCGCAGGCGGAAGAAUAAGUCUGAUGUGAAAGCCCUCGGCUUAACCGAGGAACUGCAUCGGAAACUGUUUUUCUUGAGUGCAGAAGAGGAGAGUGGAACUCCAUGUGUAGCGGUGGAAUGCGUAGAUAUAUGGAAGAACACCAGUGGCGAAGGCGACUCUCUGGUCUGCAACUGACGCUGAGGCUCGAAAGCAUGGGUAGCGAACAGG